UCGUUUCUGUCUUCCUCAUUUUUAGGCUGCUGUGCCCCUCUGCUCAUAUAAAAACCUCCUGAACGACCGCAGAUGGAACCACUCCUUACAGCUAACUGAAGAUCACAGACCUUCCACCUGAGCAGUUUCAGGACAAACAAAGCAGUGAAGAUGAAGUUGCUGCCCUGCUUCAUGCUGUAUGUCCUGCUGGCAGCUGGAACCAGUCUGGCUGUGGAUGUGAACUGGCUGACUAAAGUUGUGAAAGUCAUCAUAACUCGAUACCAUAUACCAGACAGGCAUUACAGUCUGGCUGUAACCAUCCCACAACAACAGGACCCAAACACACUUGAUAAAGUCCUUGAAGGCGACAAGCCUGAGAAUGUUAAAAAGAGUGUUGACAAGGAGAAAGUGUACGAAGGGACAAGGAUGAUUUUCUCUGUGCCCAUAAAACGUGAUCAUGCAGAACGUUUAGUUCUGCAAAAGUUGAGCAGUCUAAGAAAAUAUACAAAGAAUAACUUCCUCCUCAUCUACUCUUAUCUCUCCCCAUGUCGCACUUGCACAGACAGAAAGAGUGAAUUUAACAUCCUAGAACUGAUUGAAAGGGACGUUCGCUAUUGGCCAGAUGGAGCCUUUGUGUUUACAAGAGUUUUUGAUCAACCAAAGUCUGAAAAUGAGCCCAGAGACAGAGAGGAGAUCAUACACUCACUCUAUGAGGUCGGGUGUUCGAUGGGUGGUCUCAAAUACAUCUUUCGCUGUGACAGCUCUCAGUGUCACAGCUGCGAUGAACGUUUCAGAGCUUCAGAGAUCUGUAUUACUAACAGCCCUCAGCCUCCACAGGCAGGAAGCAGUGGGACAAACACCCAGGGAAACAAAGUCUGAGGUCCACACUGACUCUCUUCACUGACAGUCUGGUGUCACCUGGUCUCAGGUGAGUCCUGCGAACCUCAGCACUGACAUCUGUCAGUCACCAUUAAGGAAGCUUUGUGCAGGAUCACAGAUGACAUCACAGAUGACAUCACACUGUGUCGAUGAAGCGUGUGUUUUCAGACAGCUGCACCUCACUCACACCCCCAGACCCUCCACCUGUUCCCUCCACCUCAUUUACUGUCUGAAGAUGUCCAGAAGUCUCUGUGAAAGCAGACUGUAACUCAAUGAUGGCGUUCAUGAAUCAUGUGACUGCCUGACUGUGAGGUGUUUGUGACCCCUCUGUGUUCUUUCAAUAAAGCUCAGC